AUAACCCUACCGGCGGAUCCAGGAGCAAGAAUGCCCGGUAGGGGCGGAGGACCCAUUUCAACCGUUCCUGGCCAUUGGCCACGGAUCUUGGGGUGAAGUUGAGUCCGCCUAGGUGGGCUCGGCCGAGUUGAUCUCAUGACUCGAAUCCGACAGCUAACUUCGCAGGCGAUAUAUGAGAGGUUGA
rfam:Arthrobacter sp. TCD-GKA scaffold_12, whole genome shotgun sequence.